UUUUAUUUUUAAGUUAAAAAGCUUAAAUGUAUUUAAAAGACGAGAAGACCCUAUAGAGUUUUAUAUAUGUAUAUUUAUUGGUUUUAUAGUAUUUUGAUGCUGAUAUUUAGUAAUGUAUUUUGUUGGGGUGACAGAAAAAUUGGCUAAACUUUUUCUAAAAUUGAACAUUUAUUUAUGAUUGUUUGAUCCAUUAUUUAUGAUUAUAAGAUUAAAUUACCUUAGGGAUAACAGCGUAAUUUUUUUUGAGAGUUCUUAUCGAUAAAAGAGUUUGCGACCUCGAUGUUGGAUUAAAAUUAAUUUCUGGUGCAGAAGCUGGAAAAUUGGGUCUGUUCGACCCUUAAAAUUUUACAUGAUCUGAGUUUAAACCGGUGUGAGCCAGGUUGGUUUCUAUCUUUAAAUUAAACAAAUAUUUUAGUACGAAAGGACCAAAUAUUUAUAAUAUUUAUUUAGCUUAUGAAUGUUAAUAAUAGAUUACUUUGGCAGAUUAGUGCUUUAAAUUUAGAAUUUAAAUAUGUAUAUUAUACAAGUAAU
rnacentral:rRNA from 1 species